GGGAGAAUGGCGUGAACCCGGGAGAUGGAGCUUGCGGUGAACCAAGAUCAUGCCACUGCACUCCAGCCUGGGAGACAGAGCAAGACUCCAUCUCCAAAAAAAAAAAAAAGAAGGACAGCUGAGAGAAAACAGCACCUAGCACCCUGCCUUAACACAGAGAAAAUGUCCACUAAAUAUUUAUGGAAUAAACAGGAAUGAAUGAAUUAAUGAAUGCACAAAUGGAUAAAGUACAUGAAGUAUUUCAAGAGUGAGAAAGCAGAUAUGGUAAGGUAGAAAAAAGUAAGACUGUCUUUGGGAAAAUUUCUUUUACUUUUGGGGAAAGCUUGCUCAUUUCAAGGCUCUAAGGUCCUGUUCAUCUUGCAUAACUGAAGUUUUGAUUGGACAAAAUAUCCACUUGAUAAUUUCCUACUUCCCAAUGUAGUUUAUAUUGCAUGAAACUAAUAUAACAGUCUUUCAGAACUAGUGUAGUGACAUGCAUAACAAGAUUGGAAGUAGAUAAUUUUCCAUUUUAAUGUUAGUGUCAUGUCUUACUUAAAAUUAUCAGUGACAGUGGACGUGUUGGUAAAAAAAGGAAACAAGCUAAACAUCCAUCCACUGAGAAAUGGAUUAACAAAGUGGUCCAUCCAUGCAAUGGAACUACUCAGUGAUAAAAAGCGAUGAAGUAUUGAUACAUGAAACAACAUGGAUGAACUUUGAAAACAUUAUCCUAAGUGAAAGAAGCCAAACACAAAAGACAGCAUAUUGUAUGAUCCCAUUCAUAAGAGCUUUAUAAACAAAAGGCGGAUCAAUGGUUGCUUGGGCCGGCGAGUGAGAGUGGGGAUUGACUGCAAACAAGCCAAGUGAUGUGGUUUGGCUGUGUCCCCACUCAAAUCUCAUCUUGAAUUGUAACUUCCAUAAUUCCCAUGUGUUGUAGGAGGGAUCCAGUGGGAGAUAAUUGAAUCAUGGUGGAAGUUUCCCCCAUACUGUUCUUGUGGUAGUGAAUAAGUCUCAGGAGAUCUAAUGGUUUUGUAAAGGGUUUUCCCUUUUGCUUGAUUCUCAUUCUGUUUCUUG
rnacentral:lncRNA from 1 species